GGCACUAUAGCCAAGUGGUUACGGCGACAGAUUCGAAUGCUCAGUUCCAUCUGUUGGGGUUCCCCCGCGCAGGUUCGAAUCCUGCUGGUGUCG